AAGACUGUACUUUCAGGGAUCAUUUCUAUAGUUCGUUUCCAGAGAAGUUUCUCUGAACUCAUAGAGCACCAAUGGGAUCUAAUUAAACUCCAGA
ensembl:snoRNA U3 Small nucleolar RNA U3